GGAGAGGUGCCAGAGCGGUCGAACGGGCUACCCUGGAAAGGUAGUGUACUCGUAAGGGUACCGAGGGUUCGAAUCCCUCUCUCUCCGCCA
rnacentral:tRNA from 2 species